UAAAAAGGUACAUAAGGGCACUGAUAGUGGAUGCCUUGACAUUUACCACCGAUGAAGGCCGUAGAACUCUGCGAUAAGCUUCGGGGAUCUGAGAGCAAGAUUUGAUCCGGAGAUAGCCGAAUGGGGAAACCUAAUUAGAGUCAUGUCUAAUUGCCGUUACCUGAAUAUAUAGGGUAAUGUGACGGGAACCAGCCGAACUGAAUCAUCUUAGUAGGUUGAGGAAAAGAGAAUAAACAAUGAUUCCGAAAGUAGUGGCGAGCGAAAUUGGAAUAGUCCAAACCUUUUAAGUUUCUAUCGUAUUUCUCUGUGCUUAACGCUGGACUAGAGGCUAAGACCCUCCAGAUCCUUGAAGGCGUUAACUUACGGAUUAGGGGAAUUGAGUUUGCCAUAUGUAGGUAGCGAAAUUGCGAGACCUAGCCUAACCUACGUGUUAACUCGGUUUUUCUAGGCGCCCUACUCUUACACUGGUAGAGAGGGCGAGUUUAGUGGUGAGGCUUUGCCUUACCUCUCCGCGCUUGUGGAUCCCUGUAUGAGAGGGGGGACUCUCUUAGGCUUCACAGGCUUAUCCCCGUUGGGGGCAGGCGCGUUUUGAACACCGCAGAAUCACGUUGUGUAGCAUUAGCAGUUUCAUGAAUCCUCCUUUCUAAGGUCAAAAUCCAACGAUACCAAGAGUGCCAAUAGGCACUCGAAGAAGAAUGGCAAUUUGCCUGCCCCUUGUUCCUUUACCCAGUUGGGCCGAUUUAUCGGCCCAACUCCCCCAAGUUUUAGAGCUCAGAGAAAUACGAUAGAUACGGUUUAACGACCAAUGCUUAGAGGGUGUUGCGUGUUUACACAAUUUUUAUGCCGAGUAGUUCAUUUAUGGACUCUUCGGUAUAGAAACCAACAGCGUUAACUGAGUGGAUAAGAUUCGUAGUUGUUAGCGGAAGCGUUUGAAUGGCGCGCCAAAGAUGGUGAAAGCCCAGUAUGCGAAAACAACUAUUGAACUUAUAUGUGUACUCACAAGUAGGACGGGGCACGAGAAACCCUGUUUGAAUCCGGCAGGACCACCUGCCAAGACUAAAUAUGGUAAAUGAUCGAUAGUGAACUAGUACAGUGAUGGAAAGGUGAAAAGAACCCCGGGAGGGGAGUGAAAUAGAUCCUGAAACUCAGUGCCUACAACGUGUGGGAGCACGUCAGAAGACUAAGCUUAAGUUACGACAUUUUGGUUUGACUUUGUCAAAACAAAAGUAACGUAGGUUUUGUCUUCUGAUAGUGUGACCGCGUGCUUUUUGUAGAACGAUCCAGCGAGUUAAUUUUGUCGGCAAGGCUAAGUCAGUUGACGGAGCCACAGUGAAAGCGAGGGUGAAUAGCCCGUAUAGUCGGCAGGAUUAGACCCGAAACCGGGUGACCUAACCAUGAGCAGGUUGAAGCUGCAGUAACAUGCAGUGGAGGACCGAACCGGGACACGCAGUAAAGUGUUCGGAUGACUUGUGGUUAGAGGUGAAAUGCCAAUCGAACUCGGAGAUAGCUGGUUCUCCUCGAAAUAGCUUUAGGGCUAGCGUUGUGUAGUAAUUACCGGGGGUAGAGCUCUGAAAGGGUCUGGGGCGCGCAAGCGUACCCAUCCCUAUCAAACUACGAAUACCGGUAAUGUAAUCACAGCAGUCAGAACGGCGGGGCUAAGCUCGUCGCUCAAAAGGGAAACAGCCCAGACCAUCGUCUAAGGUCCCUAAAUAAUACUAAGUGGGAAACAAAGUGAGAUUUCUUAAACAGCUAGGAUGUUGGCUUAGAAGCAGCCAUUCAUUUAAAGAGUGCGUAACAGCUCACUAGUCAAGAGAUUUUGCGUGGAAAAUGUAACGGGGCUCAAGUAUUAUACCGAAGACAUGGAUGCGACCUAUCAAUUUUGCUCAUUUUCUGAGCCACCCAACAGGGCUGGCUCUAAAAUCAUUCCAGCUCAAGUAGCAUAUGAAAAUGAAUAAAAUUGAUAGGUUGCGUGGUAGAGGAGCGUUGAUAUUGCGGUGAAGUCAGAUUGGAAAGUCUGGUGGAGCGGUAUCAAGUGAGAAUGCUGGAAUCAGUAACCAUAAGACAGGUGAGAAUCCUGUCGGUCGUAAGAGCAAGGUUUCCAGGGCUACAGUAAUUGUCCCUGGGUUAGUCGGUCCUAAGUCGAGGCGUAUCAGCGUAGACGAUGGACAUCAGGUUAAUAUUCCUGAACAGGUAGUAGUUGUUGACAUUUCACGGCAUGUGACCGGAGCGGAUUUAUGGUAUAUCCGUCCAACGACCUCGGGAACGAGGGAGGAGUGAAAGUUACCCUUCGGGGUGACGAUUCUGGGUAAAGUGCUGGCUAGAAAAGAUGAUCAACUUAUGCUGCUGCCUACCGUACCGCAAACCAACACAGGUGCUCGAGUCGAGUAGACUAAGACCUACGAGAGAACCUUCGCUAAGGAACUCGGCAAAAAAGCGUCCGUAACUUCGGAAUAAGGACUGCCCCGCUCACUAAAAUGAGCAUUGCCAUAGUUAUCUCAGCGAGGAACGAGAUAAGUAGAGGUUAGAAAAUUGUAUCUUUUAGGCUUCUGGGUUGUCGGAAUAAAUCCGACAAUGACGGAAGCAAUUAUCAAGUUUCUUUGUUGAGACAGAACACAAUUAAUAAGUGUUCUUUAACUAUGGGUCCCAAUAUCACUUUUGUGAGCGGGGCCGCAGCUAAAGAGCCCACGGAACUGUUUACCAAAAACACAGGUCUCUGCUAACGCGAAAGCGGAUGUAUAGGGGCUGACUCCUGCCCAGUGUCGGAAGGUUAAGGGGAGAACUUCACGGUUCGAACUGAAGCCCCGAUGAACGGCGGCGAUAACUAUGAUCGUCCUAAGGUUUUGCGCAUCUUUUGAAAGGUACGUAAAUACUAGGACGAGCAUGACUUGUAGGAGCAAGUAAGGAAAAUGUUGCCUAGUUUACUUAACACGUAAACUGUAAUUUGGCUAUAUGCUGAAAAAUCCGGUGUAUCUGAUGGUACUUGUGUAAUAUAUAUUCCUUGGAGUAUUAUAAUCACAUGAGUAAAAAUCCAAUCAGUGCGGAAAAUCAGCAGGAAAGACUAGACAGAAAGUGGUUAGUUGGUUUCACCGAUGGUGAAGGUUGUUUUUCGAUAAGUAUUUUCAAAAACGAAACGAUGAAAGCUGGUUAUCAGGUUUUUCCGGAAUUCGUUUUAACACAAGGCGCUAAAAGCCUUGAUGUACUUACAAAAGUUCAGAACUUUUUUGAAUGCGGGAAUAUCUACGAAAACAAACGCUAUGAUAAUCAUAGAGAGAGCCUUUAUCGCUAUUGCGUAAGGAACAAAAUCGAUUUAAUAGAAAAAAUCUGUCCGUUUUUUGAUAAAAACCCUUUGAUGACUGCAAAGAAAAAUGACUUUGCGCUCUUUGAACAAGGUUUAGAAAUCAUAAUAAGCGGAAAGCAUUUGGAAAAAUCCGGUUUUGACAAGUUACGGCAAAUAGCCUCGGAAAUGAACCGGCAAAAACCACGAAAUCUAGAAUCCUCACAGACUAAGACGCCAGAAUCGUCGCAAGACGAUAAGAUAGAGUCGGUACUCUACAGCGAUGUAGAGGUGAUAACGGAAGUUAUCACGUUAAAAAACGAAUAGAGCGAAAUUCCUUGUCUGGUAAGUUCAGACCCGCACGAAUGGAGUAAUCAUGUGGGCACUGUCUCGGCGAAGGCCUCGGUGAACGUGCAUUGGCGGUAAAGAUGCCGUCUGAUCAUGCCAGGACGAGAAGACCCCAUGGAGCUUUACUACAACUUUGCAUUGAUUAUUGGGACAUUUUGUGUAGCAUAGGUGGAAGACUUUGAAGCAGAUACGCUAGUAUUUGUGGAGUCGAAAAGUGAAAUACCACCCUGAAUGUUUUAGUAAUCUUACUUUGACCAUUAUCUGGUUAAAGGACCAUGCAUGGCGGGUAGUUUAACUGGGGCGGUUGCCUUGACUAACUAGUCACAUUCUCCGCAGAAUACUAGUUACGGGGCGUAUUUGUCUAUAUGCUGGAACAUCUGUUGUAUCCGGAGGUACUGAAUGUGCUGGAGAACUCAAGCACAUGAGUGAAAAUCCUACCGGUGCAGACAAUCAGCAGGGAAGGCUGCGUGGCGAUAAAAUGCCACUAUGGAAAACUAUCGCAAAGUUCAUUACGGACUUAGUGAGCGGUGGUCGGUACUAGCAGAACCCUCAACGACUACACGACAAACGCCGGAAACGGUGAAGAUAUAGUCUGAUCUUAAUAGCGAUAUUAAGGUUUUAUCUAAUUUUAGAGAGGAUAAAACAUCAUGAAAGAAGAAGCGCGUUCGAUUUUAGUCGGAACUUUGCUCGGUGAUGGGUGUUUAGAAACCCAGAACGAUGGCAAAACCUACCGAUUAAAGAUAGAACACUCGAUAAAGCAAAAGGAUUAUACCGAUUGGCUUUAUCAAAACUUCGAAAAUCUGGUCACGAAGUUGCCACAGGAAAAGUCAAAGAAUGUAUUUGCUAAAACUUAUACGAAUUAUUGGUUUAACACCUUGGCGACGGAAAAAUUUCGUUUCUAUGGACAGCAAUUUUAUGACAAAAAUCAUCAAAAGAUUGUACCGAAAAUCAUAAAAAAGAUGCUUACGCCUUUAGCGCUAGCGGUCUGGUUUAUGGAUGACGGUUCGAGUAAGUCCAAGCAGCAUAAGGCCAUAAUUCUAAACACUCAGUGUUUUAGCAAAAAGGAUUUAAGGCUGCUGACUGAUGCCUUAUGGCAAAAGUUUGAAAUAGAAGCAAAAUUGAGACCUCAAAAAGAGGGAUAUCAACUAAUAAUUCCGCAACCUGCGAAGUUUUUAGAACUGAUUAUGCCUUAUUUGCGCGAAGAGUUUUACUAUAAACUUGGAGCGAACAUGAAACAAAAUGCCUAAAGAGUAGCGGAGGCGUUCAAAGGUUGGCUAACUACGGAUGGAAAUCGUAGUGAUAGUGUAUGCGCAAAAGCCAGCUUGACUGUGAGGGCUACAACCCAAACAGACACGAAAGUGGGAGCAAAUGACCCGCUGUAUAGAACGCAAGUUCAAUUUACGUGGGAAAGACAGCGCACACGGAUAAAAGUUACCCUGGGGAUAACAGGCUGAUCGCGCCCAAUAGUUCACAUAGACGGCGCGGUUUGGCACCUCGAUGUCGGCUCAUCACAUCCUGGAGGGGGAGCACCUUCCAAGGGUCCGGCUGUUCGCCGGUUAAAGUGGUACGCGAGCUGGGUUCAGAACGUCGUGAGACAGUUCGGUUUAUAUCCGGCAUGAUCGCCCAAGAAUUUUGAGAAGAUUUGCCCCUAGUACGAGAGGACCGGGGUGAACGGACCUCUAGUGUAUCGGUUGUGGCCACCUGCUGCAUUGCCGAGUAGCUAUGUUCGGAAUGGAUAAGCGCUGAAAGCAUAUUAAGCGCGAAGCCAACUUCAAGAUUAGAAUUCCCUAUGAACUCCCAGAGAGAAUAUCUGGUUGAUAGGCGCAAGAUGGAAGUAUGGCAACAUAUGGAGUCGAAGCGUACUAAUAGAGUCAUCGCCUUUUUAUG
rnacentral:rRNA from 1 species